AGGGGAUAUCUAGUUGGAAUGCUUCAUUGUCCAGUUAUGAGAAGGAAAUCUAAAGCAAAGAAAGGAGAUUGAGCCUCUGAAGAAUUUAGAGGAUCAGUUUACCUGUUUUCAGACAGCUGGUUCGAUGCCCAGACCUGAAUGCUGUGCUCCAGCUGUGGCCUCACCGGUGCUGAAUAGAGAGGAAGAGCCACCUUCAUAGCUUACAUGUGAUUCCUCUGCUUAUACAACCCAAUACUGGAUUUACUUACUUUGGCAAGAUAGCUGCAUUGUGCACUGUAUUUAAUGUUCCGUGUACUGUAACCCCGGGUCUUCCUCUGCAUUGCUGCCGUCACACCCUCAAUCCUACCAAUCUAAGUCUCCCGCCUUUGUUUGCCUGCCCUCCUCCCUUAGACUCCUCAUGCAUUCAUGCACAAUGAAUGUCAUCUUUUUAUUCUCUGAUUCCCUUUUACUUUAAUCUCAAACUCUUGACAAGACUUUUACUCUGUCCUAUAAAUUUUCAGCAGUCAGCCAACCUCCCUCCCCCUGCUUUGGUAAUGGAACGUUCUUUUCCGCUUGUAGCCCUGAAACCUAAGCAUUUGAUAUGGUGGAUUGAGUAAGCAUUCUGGCAUUUCUGAAUCGCAACGACUGGUUUGGCCCCUUGAAGUUGUUACCUUGCUUAGUUCUGUCUAGAUUUCCUUGACUCUUUAUGAGCUCUGUCUUGGUGGAUAGUAUAGUCUUACAGCUCCUCCUCCAGGGAGAUGAAAACGUACCACCAACAUCAAUGUACCAGAGAGAUUUCUCACAGUAAGGAAGUUAACUAUUAUCUUUUACUAGAGUAGCCUUUAGUAGUCUUACAGUUCUCCAGUUGAAGGUGAACUUGCUGUACAUUUCUGAGAUGAGUGAGGUGAAUGAAGCAGUGAAGCAAGGUCCCUCAGUGUCAAUGGACUGUGCUUCACCAAGCAAGCCAGCCAGUGGAUCUUAGUGGAUUUGGUAGCUGACUCAAAUGGGAGCUGCAGCCUCAUCUUUCCUGCACUCUGGAGCGUCAUGAUCUCUGAUUUAGAGAAGUUUUUUAGUUGGUUUGUUUAGGAUUGUUGAUACAGCCGCCCAGUCUUUUAAUGAUAUGCUUUGAUUAAGCAUUUAGAGGCUAGUGUAUUGUAUAAUCUUUUCUGUGGGUGGUAAGAAUUGGAAGGUCUCCAAAUGUCCUUUUUAUCUAUGUGUAAGCUCUCAAGUGAAUCCUAGUGCAUCUAAGGGUAGCAGUUAAGCCGAUAUUUGAGUCCUCUCUGUCCCCACCUCCCAUCUUAGUGGCUAUGCCCUGUUUAAACAGACUGCCCUUAAAUUUGUGGUAUUUAUUAGACCUACAAAGUACUGAUUACAUGUAUUUAUAUCUGGAAGGAGAGAAAGUUGGUUUGGAAAUCUUUUUAAUGCAAUAUGAGUAUAUCAAGUUAGACAUUACCAAACACCUGGUAGAUGUCAACACAUUGUACUAAUUUUGAACAUGUGUCACAGGUGUAUACUACAAGUAAAAGGUGUUUAUAGCUGUCAGAGAUUGCUGGUUUCAGUAUUCACAGUUACAUAACCAAAGAAAAUUGUAAGCUCAAUUUGGUGGCUUGGAAAAAAAUGACUUUUCUCUGGUUUCUCCCCAUGUAUAUUUUAAAAACUUGCUGAAUCUAUUUUUGAUGAGAAUACAUGUUUGCAAUAUAGGAAGAAAAUGGUAGAGUUGCUGUGCCUUUCCUUGUAAGUAUGGCACCCUUCUUGGAAGGGAAUGUCAGUUUGGUUCCUUGGCUUCUGGGGUAACUCUCAGUGACCAUACUGAGUGGACUUUGCUGUUGUAGGGAGCCAAUAAGUGGUGAGAAGGGUAACGGUUUCCAUCUCCAUUUAUGGUCUUAGGAGGGGAAAUGGACAGGGUUGGGUCUCUAUUUAGUCUUUGGAGGAGUCAAGAGUGGUUGGGGUGUUCUUGGAGGCAGAAACUAGACAUUGUAAGAUAAAAAUAAAUUGUCAGAGGCUGUUUGCACUUCAGAUUCCGAUCUCUGCGAGGGUGAAGGGUGCUGGGAAAGGGGCGUGUAUGUGAAGUCAGAUGAUACUUAAAGUGCUUGUCUCUUUCCAUCGGGAGAUUUGACCAUGACACAUAUUUUCCAGGUUUUUGUUUCUGGAUUGUUUAAGAAAGUUUUGUCCUAUGGGGUCAAAAUUUUCUGUUACAAAAAGAAAGCCAAGAUGAUUUUUAAAGAGUUUAUGCAAAGCCUCAGUUUUCUGUAAGGAUCGUUUGAGGUGGUGGGAGAGAUAUUUUGAAAGGGAGAGUGGGUAGAUGCUCAUUUGGGGGUCCAAGUUGUAGGUGACUGUGUCUGAGGUAGAUCUCAUGGCUCAUGCUUUUAUUAUUAUUUUUGCCUAUUUGGAUUUCUGACCUCAGGGAGCAGACUUUUAAAGAGUCCUGAGGAAGUGUGUUUGUAGAUUGUUAACUUUGAUUUAAAGAUCCUGCGCAUGGAGAUCCAUAAAGUUCCAGACUUGUUUCAGUUUAGUGAGAAUAGGUCAUAUAUUGGUGGAUGGAAGGUAAUCUCUCCUUUAGGAGAGUCUUAUAGUCUUGGUAAUGCUUAUACGUUAGGUUAGAGAUAAACUAGUUUUAGCAGCUAAGUUAGAAAAUAUCUAGGAGCCACUAGGGAAAGGGGGUUUUGUCUCAAGCAAAUUCUGAGUGAAACCCUGUUACAGAGAAGGAGGAGACAGGAAGGAGAGCAAGGCAUUCAGAGACAAUGCACAGCCUGGACAUGGCUGGAUGUUUCAGUUGAGAGUAAGUCCUUGAUGUACUUCUGAUGUAUCUGGGAAGAUAGUAUGAGUGUACUAUUAAUUUCAGGAACUGAGCCAGACUGAAAUAUAUAGUAGAAAUAAAGACCAUUAAAAAAGGAAAGAGUUGAACAAGGCAGGUUAUUCAGGUUUUGUUUAAUAAGAGUUUACAUAAAGCAUUUACUCGCUGUACCAAGUAACAGAAAGACAUGAGAUGACUCCUUCCUCACCCUCCCUGAGAAGGACUGUCAGCCUUGUUUGUUGGUUUGUUGGUUUGUUUAGCUGGCAGUGUGAGUUGGUAGGUUAAUAAAAUGUAGGUAUUAGUGUACUGUUUUUUGGUCAUGUGUCUAAGACUAGGGACUUACGACAGACAUUAUUUUAUUGAUUUGAUUGCUCCUUCAGUUGUAGACAUUUUUACCGUGACAGAGUAAGUUAGGAAGGAACAGACUCUGUAAGUGACCUGUUUUGUUAGCUACUUCGUCUAGGCAGCUGUUUUUCCCCUGUACUUAACUAAGAGUAAGGAAGAUGUUUUCCACUUGGGGAAAUUCUUCUUUCUGUCCUCUUUCCCUCACAUUUUCCAAAUUCUGGGCACCAUAGCAGCUCUCUCUCCUGUGGCAGGUGUACAUCCUAUUGGCUGGCUGGUAUUUCUUUUUUUCCUCCCCCUUAUCCUUUUUAAAUGGGGGAGGGGGCAUAAAAUAUGUGUAUUGGAUACAUG
rnacentral:lncRNA from 1 species